rnacentral:rRNA from 1 species
CGGGCGACGGUUGUCCCGGUUUAAGCGUGUAGGCUGAUUUUCCAGGCAAAUCCGGAAAAUCAAGGCUGAGGCGUGAUGACGAGGCACUACGGUGCUGAAGCAACAAAUGCCCUGCUUCCAGGAAAAGCCUCUAAGCAUCAGGUAACAUCAAAUCGUACCCCAAACCGACACAGGUGGUCAGGUAGAGAAUACCAAGGCGCUUGAGAGAACUCGGGUGAAGGAACUAGGCAAAAUGGUGCCGUAACUUCGGGAGAAGGCACGCUGAUAUGUAGGUGAAGUCCCUCGCGGAUGGAGCUGAAAUCAGUCGAAGAUACCAGCUGGCUGCAACUGUUUAUUAAAAACACAGCACUGUGCAAACACGAAAGUGGACGUAUACGGUGUGACGCCUGCCCGGUGCCGGAAGGUUAAUUGAUGGGGUUAGCGGUAACGCGAAGCUCUUGAUCGAAGCCCCGGUAAACGGCGGCCGUAACUAUAACGGUCCUAAGGUAGCGAAAUUCCUUGUCGGGUAAGUUCCGACCUGCACGAAUGGCGUAAUGAUGGCCAGGCUGUCUCCACCCGAGACUCAGUGAAAUUGAACUCGCUGUGAAGAUGCAGUGUACCCGCGGCAAGACGGAAAGACCCCGUGAACCUUUACUAUAGCUUGACACUGAACAUUGAGCCUUGAUGUGUAGGAUAGGUGGGAGGCUUUGAAGUGUGGACGCCAGUCUGCAUGGAGCCGGCCUUGAAAUACCACCCUUUAAUGUUUGAUGUUCUAACGUUGGCCCCUGAUCGGGGUUGCGGACAGUGUCUGGUGGGUAGUUUGACUGGGGCGGUCUCCUCCUAAAGAGUAACGGAGGAGCACGAAGGUUGGCUAAUCCUGGUCGGACAUCAGGAGGUUAGUGCAAUGGCAUAAGCCAGCUUGACUGCGAGCGUGACGGCGCGAGCAGGUGCGAAAGCAGGUCAUAGUGAUCCGGUGGUUCUGAAUGGAAGGGCCAUCGCUCAACGGAUAAAAGGUACUCCGGGGAUAACAGGCUGAUACCGCCCAAGAGUUCAUAUCGACGGCGGUGUUUGGCACCUCGAUGUCGGCUCAUCACAUCCUGGGGCUGAAGUAGGUCCCAAGGGUAUGGCUGUUCGCCAUUUAAAGUGGUACGCGAGCUGGGUUUAGAACGUCGUGAGACAGUUCGGUCCCUAUCUGCCGUGGGCGCUGGAGAACUGAGGGGGGCUGCUCCUAGUACGAGAGGACCGGAGUGGACGCAUCACUGGUGUUCGGGUUGUCAUGCCAAUGGCACUGCCCGGUAGCUAAAUGCGGAAGAGAUAAGUGCUGAAAGCAUCUAAGCACGAAACUUGCCCC